ACAAACAGAUCUUUCACUUCCUUAG
rnacentral:piRNA from 1 species